GGGUGAGGAGGUGCUGGGCACCUUCCUGUCCGCUUGUCCUGUUUAGCUCACAAAGGGGCAGAGCAAGGGGGCUGCGGUUCUGAGCGACAGACGCACAGUGUGGGUCCCGCUGGGCAGCCCCCCACCCGGGUCCAGCCUGGCUCAGCCCAGCCCGGCCGUGUGAUACGGGGCAGGGUGCGCUGUCCGAACAGGAGAUACCUCUGUGAUGUCUCCUGAUUUCAACACGAGGCACUUGGGAGUCACAGAACUGUUUCAGUCGGUGAAAUCGGGUCGCCUCCCUCCAGGCCAGCCAUUUGCCCCCUCCCCCAGGCUCUUUUGGCCUCAUGGCAGCCGAACGGGGGUAGAAUGAGCAGAUCAGGGGCCUCCCGCAGGCACGGCACCCCCGACCCCUGGGUCAGAGGGACCUAGAGAGUUUCCAGCCCGAUAAAUGUCAGACGUUGCAGAGCCACAGAACCUUCCUGAAACUCGUGUGUAGCAGAGAGCAGAGUGGGGCUGCUUGAUUCCUUCCCCUCCCCCACGCUCUCCUUCCCCACCCUUCAGGGCACUGAGUCUCACGCCCGGUGCAGUUCACGCGGGGUCUCCCCGUCCGGGUAGCGGUGCAAUGAGGCAGAAUCCUGGGGCUCCUCAGAGCACAGCUUGAACCCACCGACCUGGUCCGACCUCCUCAUUCUGCAAGUGGGAAACUGAGGCUUGAGGUCACACACUCUUGAUGGGCAGAAGCUCUCCUUAUGACCUGUCCAGACUUUUCCCACAGCACAAACAGACCCCCCUCUGUCUCCUCCAGCACCUCUGGAUGUGUGAGCAGGGAGAUAGGGUACCUAUCACCUGCAGCAUGGCCCCCUGUCUCAGGCUGGGCCACCCCUCGUGUGGCUGUGGGUCUGGAGACCAGGAGAAGUCAGUGCUCACGUCUGGCUACGUGAUGGCACACCCAAUCAAGGAAGACAGCAUCCAAAGGCAGACACUCUAGUAAAUAAACGGGAGGAACCCGGCUUGGCUGGAACAGUUCUCCAGAAUGUCUCUGGAUCCCUGCAGAGUGGGUCAGCAUCUGGAACCAGGGACAGCUGCUUCCUGCUGACCUAGCUAGGCAUGUGGGUGGAGACCCACCAUUCAUUCUCCUGGAAGGCUUCUUAACAGUCCUCCCCCUCAAAUAUCAUGGUCUAAGAGAGAAGACGGUUUCAAAGAAGACGGGAAACCCACCCGCCAAAAUGGAGCCCUGUGCAGAAUCGUCAGUAAUGGUUAAGACUUCCGGCUAAGCAGUGCCCUCCUCCUGAGUGUCUGACGUCAGCUCUCAAGUGCUCCUGCGAAUUGAGACGAAAAAGCUGGCAUUCACGUCCUCACCCAAACGACCCAAACCUAGAGUCACCUCCAUCUGCCGCCUGGACUGCCGGCAGCAUCCACCCUUGUUCCUUUAAUUCAUUUUCCACCACAGACGGGAAGGAUCUUUCUAGCACGCCUUUUGUCACGUCCUUCUUCUGCCUGAAACUCUUCCGUGAUCUCAGCUUUCCCUUUCAGAAUGAUCUUGAAGACUCUGGAGGACCCUCAGGCGGUUCAUGAAGCCCGAGGCCUGUUGUUAACACUGUGACCGUCUCCAGUGAACUCCUGGCUGGGCCCUGCUGACACUCUCUGCCUCCUUUUCACUGCCUUGUCCGGGAGCCUCUCCAGUCUCAUCUCUGACUCUGGGCCCUUCACCCCCUUUCUGCCAGCAGCACCAGUUACCUCAGUUCUGACGUGGUCUGCUUGCAGAGAGAGCCUCAGGUCCCACAGGUUGAGGGCUGGCUCCUUCAAGACCGCCCCUCCCUCCAUGCAAGUCCAGAGGUGGUCCCAUCAUCAUCCCAAGGCCCGGCUGGGGCUGGAUGGGCUGGCCUUCCACGGUGGCCCAGACUGCUACUCCUCGUGAUCUCAGGGGUCUGAGUUUAUUGUGGAGGCUGCUGGGCUGGUGGAUUCCUUCUUCCCUGUGCUCACCCCAGAGGAGUUGCCACAAAGUGCUGAUCAUCCGGUCUCAUUGAAAGUAGCACAUUCGCGUGAACGGGGCCCCGGGAGAGCAUUUCCACGCCCAAGUCGCCGAAGCGUUUUCAGAAAGCUCCUGGCCAGGUGGGAGUAUCUAGGACUGCGCUCUAGUCCCAGACCCGCCACCCGGCCUCCUGUGCCACCUGAGGCUGGUCCUGUGACUUCUGGUCUCAGCUUUCUCCUUCGUAAACGGUCUACGCCCCCACUCCCGGCUCUUCGGGAACUGACACAGUGAUGGGGGAGCCCUCGGUCCAAACGGUGCAAAUGCUUAUUAAGCGAGUGCCCACGUGGGCCAGGCCGCUUCACGCUCACAGAACUCAGUAUAACCUGCUUAACACAGGACAAAUCCAAAGUUCAGAGGGGUUCAGUGAUUUCCCCAAGAUCACAUAGCUGUGGAGUGCACAAGCAGCCUGGAAGCCAGGUCUGUCUGUGUCCACAACCAGCAUUCUUAUUAACCAUAGGACUGUGCUGCCUCUUAGAACUUAGAAUUUCAGCUCCUGGGUCUCCCAGAUCAGUAAAAUGGGGCAAUGAUGUCGGUCUCUACCCUCCCUCACAUGGAUACUGUGGGGCUAAGGGAACUUGAAGGAUCUUUGGAGGAAAAUUCCAAACCUGCUCAAUUUUACCAGCCCCUACAAUGACUAUUCCUCCACUAGCAGAUUGCCUGGCCUGGACAGAGUCUGGCACAGAGGUCACUGGCCUGGGAGGCCUGCCUGGGUCUCUCGGUCAUCCCUGCAUGCUCUGUGCUAAUGGAGGAAAACCCUUAAAAUCUCCAGCAUCAGAUCCUCAUGUAUGAAAUCAGAAGCUUUUCGAAUAUUUCUAUGCCCAGGCCCACCCCCAGACCGAUCUGCCGGGCCUGUGAGUGAAUCACAUGUGCACAUGGCUGAGAACCGCCAGCCCCAUGUCCUCCAGGGUCCCUGCCAGCUCCAGAUUGCUGUGUUUUUUAUAAUUUAUUGAGUGUCUACUAUAAUUCCAGCAUCAAAUUAAUUUAUGAUCUACCCUUGAACUGAAUUAAAACCAGCGCCUAGGGAAGUAGCCCGAUUAUGAGGGCAGGAGCUUGGAAUCAGGUGUUCCCAGUUUUGAGCCUGGCCCCGUGCCAGCCCAGUUACUAUGAAAACGGAGACACCACUUUCCUCUUUCCCUUCCCCACCCCACUUUCUCUUCUGGCAAAUAGGGUGUUGCCUCCUCAGCAAAAUUUUCGAGAAUGUAAAACCCAGGUGGGAUGUCUAGCCGGGCAAUGAGGACUGAUAGAUUAAACCAGCUGUCUCUGCACAGACCAACUUCCUCUGUCCUCAGUUUUGUUAGCACCCUAUGGUACGUUAUUCCAGGCUGAAAUGAACUUCGGUUCUGCAGCAGUUGUCGCUGUUAAAAAUCAUUCGUGACACCCCGUGAGGAAAUUGAAGUCCCCCUGGAAUGUCA